AAAAUGUUCAAUGGUUGAAAGUUUUAAUUUUUUGGGUUUGUCCCUCCGUUUAGUUACUAAACAUUCAAGCAGAGCAUGAAUCAUUAUUGUAGUCAUGGUGUAACUAAACAUUCAAGCAGAGCAUGAAUCAUUAUUGUAGUCAUGACUAGGUGAUCUAUGGAUCUGGACAUAAUUUCGCGGGCGUAAAGUGCAACCCCGCUCCACGCUUGCGGCAGCCUAGUUUCACAUCUUUUUUUCUGUUGAAACUUUAAGAAAACGGUGCUACAACUCAGGUUCGAACCCACGACCCCACGCUUCGCAGCGACCACACUAAACACUAGGCCAUC
rnacentral:lncRNA from 1 species